rnacentral:rRNA from 1 species
CUCGAGGUGGCUGCUUGGGACUUCCUCCUCCAAGUCGUGGCUCUGAUGCCGAUGAACAUUCAGGAGGACUAGGAUGCCAUUUCCUGGCACCUUGAGCCUUCCAGCCGCUUCUCCACGAAGUCCCUGUAUGCGGUCAUUGAUCCAUCGACGGCCCCGGAACCGUUUAGCCUGAUAUGGGACAUCCGCCUUCCUCUGAAGAUCCGGAUCUUUCUGUGGCAAUGGAUCCGCGGGCGCCUCCCCUCUGGGAUCGAAGUCCUCAAGCGUAACGCCCCGGGCGAUGGGCUCUGUCCCAUCUGUGGCACGAUCGAGGAUGCUAACCACAUCUUCUUCUCGUGCUCCAUGGCCCAGUUCAUGUGGGACUGCUUCCGCGAAACGGUCGGUGGCCAGUGGUGCAAUACCAACUUCCCCGACAUCCUUGUGGAGCUGUCCGCCUCCCCUCCGCGCUACCGCCAUAUUAGAUGGCUGUGCAUUGGGAUCCUCGCCUGGACGCUUUGGAACAUUCGCAACAAGCUUGUCAUUCAGAAGGUCCCUCUUCGGCGCGCGACUGAUGCUAUCUUCAAAAUGUGUGGCUACUUGCAGCUUUGGCGGCCGCUUAGCCGCCCCCAGGACCGGGACGUCAUCACCAACCUCCUCGCUGAUCUUCGCUCGAUGGCGCUCCGCGUGGCUCCCCCGCUUCCGCCCCCUCCACCUGAGCCCGACUAG